rnacentral:rRNA from 1 species
CCAGACUCCUACGGGAGGCAGCAGUGAGGAAUAUUGGUCAAUGGGCGAGAGCCUGAACCAGCCAAGUCGCGUGAGGGAAGACGGUCCUACGGAUUGUAAACCUCUUUUGUCAGGGAGCAAGGAGCGCCACGAGUGGUGCGGCGAGAGUACCUGAAGAAAAAGCAUCGGCUAACUCCGUGCCAGCAGCCGCGGUAAUACGUAGGUGGCAAGCGUUGUCCGGAUUUACUGGGUGUAAAGGGCGUGUAGCCGGGCUGACAAGUCAGAUGUGAAAUCCGGGGGCUCAACCCCUGAACUGCAUUUGAAACUGUCGUUCUUGAGUACUGGAGAGGUUGACGGAAUUCCUAGUGUAGCGGUGAAAUGCGUAGAUAUUAGGAGGAACACCAGUGGCGAAGGCGGUCAACUGGACAGCAACUGACGCUGAGGCGCGAAAGCGUGGGGAGCAAACAGGAUUAGAUACCCUUGUA